UGGGAGGCUGAUACUCAAAUAGAGAAAAUCUUUCCUCUAGUUGUCACAAGUUCUCCCUAUAACAAAGCUGCCUUUUGAUGACUGGAACGAAUUAAGAGAAAUCGUAACAGACAGAUACGGGGCAUACAAGU